UACGUAGGGUGCGAGCGUUGUCCGGAAUUAUUGGGCGUAAAGAGCUUGUAGGCGGUUUGUCGCGUCUGCCGUGAAAAUCCGGGGCUCAACCCCGGACUUGCGGUGGGUACGGGCAGACUAGAGUGUGGUAGGGGUAAAGGGAAUUUCCAGUGGAGCGGUGAAAUGCGUAGAGAUUGGAAAGAACACCGAUGGCGAAGGCACUUUACUGGGCUAUUACUAACACUGAGAGACGAAAGCUAGGGUAGCAAAUGGG
rnacentral:rRNA from 1 species